UACAAACCGAUAUAAGGUGAAACCGCGAAUGGCUCAUUAAAUCRKUCAUAAUUUACUGGAUCUCGAUCCAUCCUUASUUGGAUAACUGUGGUAAUUCUAGAGCUAAUACAUGCACUCAAGSUCCGAUCUGCACUUCGGUGCGGUGAAGGGCGCAUUUAUUARACCCAAACCGAUCUASCUAUUCUUAAUGAGUGGUAAUGGGGACUCURAAUAACUCASCCGAGCGCGAGGGUCUUCGGACCAGCGCCACAUCMAUCGAGAGUCUGCCUUAUCAGCUAUAUUGUAAGGUAUUGGCUUACAAUUGCUGUGACGGGUAACGGGGAAUCAGGGUUCGAUUCCGGAGAGGGAGCCUGAGAAACGGCUACCACAUCUAAGGAAGGCAGCAGGCACGCAAAUUACCCAAUCCCGGCUCGGGGAGGUAGUGACGAAAAAUACCGAUGCGAGACUCAUCCGAGGCCUCGCCAUCGGAUUGAGUUCAAUCUAAAUACUUGGACGAGCUUCCAUUGGAGGGCAAGUCUGGUGCCAGCAGCCGCGGUAAUACCAGCUCCAAUAGCGUAUAUUAAAGUUGCUGCGGUUAAAAAGCUCGUAGCUGAAUUUAUCGCCCGGACUGGCGGCCCACUAGCGGCUGAGCCAUCGUCUCGUUGUACUUCGGUCUUCUUGAGGCUAGAGCUCUGCCCGGUGGUACACCCAGUCAGCUCCGGUCGAAUAAGUCCGCCGGAUUACGAGGGGCGCUUCACGGCGUCCCAAGUGGCCGGCAAUUUCACUUUGAAUAAAUUAGAGUGCUCAAAGCAGGCUACAAACAAAGGCCUAAGUGUGUGUGCAUGGAAUGAUGUAAGAGGACCUCGACUCCGUCGUUGUUCUGGUCGGUUCUUGGAGCCGAGGUAAUGAUUGAUAGAAGCAGGCGGGGGCAUUCGUACUGCGACGCUAGAGGUGAAAUUCUUGGACCGUCGCUAGACGAACCACUGCGAAAGCAUUUGCCAAGGAUGUUUUCCUUAGUCAAGAACGAAAGUUAGAGGAUCGAAGGCGAUCAGAUACCGCCCUAGUUCUGACCGUAAACUAUGCUACCUGGCGAUCCGCCGACGUCAUACCCAAGACUCGGCGGGGAGCCUCCGGGAAACCAAAGGUUUCGAGUUCCGGGGGAAGUAUGGUUGCAAAACUGAAACUUGAAGGAAUUGACGGAAGGGCACCACCAGGAGUGGAGCCUGCGGCUUAAUUUGACUCAACACAGGAAAUCUUACCAGGUCCAGACACUGAAAGGAUUGACAGAUUGAGAGCUCUUUCUCGAAACAGUGGGUGGUGGUGCAUGGCCGUUUUUAGUUGGUGGAGCGAUUUGUCUGGUUGAUUCCGAUAACGAACGAGACUCUACCCUGCUAAAUAGUCGUCGAAUCGUAUCCCGAUGCAGCGGUCCUCGGUGCUGCCUCUUCUCGCUUAUUCUUGGGAUUUGUCUAUUUCUCCGCCUUCUGGGUGGCUGCAGAUCCAAUUCGUUGGUAUCGGGCUGUCUGGUUGGCUUCACGUGGGCUCUGGAUGGUCUCGAGGGUACGAGGGAGUAACGGCUGUGUGUUCGCUCGUUGAGGGACGUUCGUCGCAAGGUUCUUCUUAGAGGAAUCGGCAUCAAUUAGAUGCACGAGAAGGAGCGAAAACAGGUCUGUGAUGCCCUUAGAUGUUCUGGGCGGCACGCGCGCUACAAUGGAAGGUUCAGCGUGCUUUACCCCUCUCCGAAAGGAGCGGGUAAUCCUAGAAAGCCAUUCUCAGUUGGGAUUGGGGAUUGAAAAUAACCUCACGAACGAGGAAUUCCUAGUAGGCGCGAGUCAAGAGCUCGCGUCGAUUAAGUACUUGCCCUUUGUACACACCGCCCGUCGCUACUACCGAUUGAGUGAUCGAGCGAGGGCCUCGGACCGGCGCUCUAGUUAACCGUGCUUUGCGCGUGGCACUUUGGGCAGCCGGAAAGACGUCCGAACUCGACCAUUUAGAGGAA
rnacentral:rRNA from 1 species